UCUUCGCUCUCAUCCCCCACCCCCACCUCGUCGACAAAGGUAAGUCCCGUGUCAAACUGUCAAUUAAUCACUCGUGCAACACAAUUUGAUGAACAGCUCACCUCAUAUAGCCAGACAAGUGUGCAGCCUGAAGGGCAAGGAUGGGGAUAAAUCAUACGAGUUGUUCAGUCAAAAAAGAAUCACAUGCGUUCAGUCAAAAAAGAAUUCAAAGUAAGAGCAGAAACUUCUCGCACACCUUCUAACUACUACAUUGCAAAUUACUUAGUAUCCUGUCUAUCUUUAUUCCGCCGGUUGUGGCUAUCCCUUUUGCCUUGUUUUUUUAGCUCUUUGUGAGCCCCUUUGAAUUCUGAGAUUCGGAGACCUUGUUGAACUAUUUGCUUAUUAAUAAAUGGGCCAUAUGCAUCUUUUGGAUGCAGAGGCCGGGGAUAACCUCCUUUUCAAAAAAAAACAUUGCAAAUUACUGGAUGAUCUGAUGAAUGUCAUUGCUUUAUCUGGUUCGUGAUCUACAACUUACAGCAAGAAAUCUAACAUACCAACUUAUGGCAGAAAGUAAGAAAGCUAACGUACAGGAAAAAACAUGAUAGAACUGUAAACAUCUUACUUGUAGGAUACUGUUCCAAAUUUCAGAAAAUGUGGUCCUUUAUGUGCCUCGCUCGGUGUUGAAUACGAUUACAAGUUCGUCUGGAGGUAGAUGAUACAUACAGGAUGGUUAAUUAUUGUUGUUUAAUUAAAGGCUAGGUUAGUGUUAGGUUUAGAAGGAACUUAUGAGGGGAAACCCAGGAUUUGUGCGCCAUUGUGACCUUAAUUGAUGAAAAUGAUAUAUGUGUGUAGUUACUGAACAAAUCAAGGGAAUUUACUGUUAAUUCCUUAACUUUGCAAGCUAAAUUUCAAUCUGAGUGUCAUACCCCAGGUAGUUGCUACCAUGUAACCUGAAGUUGUUAGUGUGUUGGCCACUGUGUGUGAGCCUUAUGUCUUUUUAAAGAUUCUGUAGGGGUGCGUGGGCUUGUACCGGCAAGAGGAGACGAGGUACUUAAGGGCUGAGCAUCUGUAAUGAGUCAACUAGAAAAUGAACAGAAACCGAAUCCCCUGUCUCUUGCUCUGUUUCCCUGUAUCAUUUCUUCUCUUCCACAAAAAGCUCACCAGCGGCAAUCUCAUCGCUUGUGAGGUAGGCAUGGUGUUACACUGAGUUCCUCCUCCUACUGACAGCUUUGCAAGCUAAAAAACUAAAUUCUUUGGAUUUAAAAUGUAUCAAAAUCCUCUCACAGUCAAUGGAAGCAAGAACAAAGAAACAUCUCAUCAAUCUUCAACACUUUGGUUAUCAAUAUCAAUACAUGUAGAGUUUUAAAGUUUUCUCGUGACAGCUUAUAACAGGUUUGAGCGACCUUUUCUCCUUUUUGAGGAAAACAAGCCGUACCUAAUGGCUAAUGCCAUAAAAACCCAGUGGAAAUGCUGGAGAACAUAAAGGCACUUGUGGUAACUAACAUACCAACUGAUCGGUGUUUAUUAGUUGUCCCUCGGACUGCCAAUUUACUUCUCUGCUUUAUUGGGGCAAUGGGAAUUUUAAAACUUGUUAGUAAUUUCAGCCAUGAUGGCUCAAAUCAGAUUUGAGCUACAGGUGGAGCUCGAAGGAAUAAAAAUGAGUUCAUCUUCUGGACCGAACAAGGUUUGCAAUGCUGACAUAUUCUGCAGGUUAACAUCAGUACAACACUCAAGAAUAGUAAUAAUUUGAAAAAUACAACAGACCAUGGCUUUUGUUUUCUGUAAGAGAAUCUCCUACACACAAUCUAAUUGGCUACCUUGUCAUUGUCUCUGUUUCACCUGGGACCUGAUACAUCUGAGGCUAGAGGUGGAGCUGAAGAGCUCACAUUUCCUGUGCUACCAAAAUUUGCUGGAGUUGUUACAACAAAGUUAUGUUCUAUGUUGAGGUCCGUUUUCAUGGUACCUUCCAAUACUUUCACCACCUCAGACAUUUUAGGCCUUUUUUUGCAAUCAAUCUGCAAGCACCACAUUGCAAGCAUCAUCAUCUGAAUUACAUCUUGCUUGUGUGCUUGCAUGUCGUUGCUGCUAUUGUCAAUCAAAUCUACCAACCGAUCACUCUUCACCUUUUCCUCCAAUAGGGUGAUGAGAUGAAUGCUCUCUUCUGACCGGGAAGUGUCGAGGUUCUUUCUUCCGCUGAUGAUUUCCAUGACCACGACACCAAAGCUGUAGAUAUCUGCCUUUUCCGUGAUAUGUGAUGUCAACCAUUCAGGAGCCAAAUAUCCAGGUGUGCCUCUCAUUCUGGUAACCACUUGGCUCAUAUCCCUGUCUAUGAGCUUGCAUAAUCCAAAAUCAGAAAGUUUAGCAUUGAAAUUGUCAUCUAAGAGGAUAUUUUGUGGUUUGACAUCCAAAUGAGCAAUUCGUUUUGUGCACUCCUCGUGAAGAUAAGAGAGGCCCUUAGCUAUUUGAGUUAUAAUUUUGCACCGCGUGCUCCAAUCUAGAGGAGGAGCAUCAUUGUCAUGUCGACAAUAGAUCCAUCUGUCCAAGGAUCCUUUGGGCAUGUACUCAUAUACCAAGAGCCUGUGGGAUUUCUCUGCACAGAAACCAAUCAAUCUCACCAGAUUAAUAUGAUGAAUGCUGCCAAUUGUCUGGACCUCUGCCGAAAAUUCUCUUUUACCCUGACCAGAUCGAUCCAGACGUUUUACUGCAAUCCUUUCAUCACCAAAUUGUCCCUUGAAAACAGACCCAAAUCCUCCUUCCCCGAGCUUGUCUGCGAAUUGCUCCGUUGCUGAUUUUAGCUGUUCAAAUGUGAACCUCAUAGGUGUUCCUUGUAGCUCCCCAAACUCUUCCUCUUCCUCUUCCUGCAUCUCACUCCGUCGUUGGGUUCUUCGUUUACAAAAAUAGAAAAUGACGAGGAACAGAAAAAUGAAGCCGCCUAUAGGAGCUAAAAUUGCAACAACUGUUCUUACAGUUGAGGAUUUUGGUUUCAUGGUUGUUGGCCCACUAGGUGUUACCACAGCCGGGGGUGCAGGCAGAGCACUCGGCGGUGUUGCUUGAUUGGUCAAGGGACAAAAGACUACCUUGUAGUUGGUGCCGGCCGGGCAACUGAAAGUGCUGGUUGCAUCAUCCAUGGGGUAGCUGUAGGCAUCUGGGCACAUCUUCUUGAAGAAGUCGGAGUAGUCCGUGGUGCUGCAGUUAUUUGCCGCGCUCCUGGUACAGCAGUACCUGUCCUGCUUGAACACCGUGCACGGGCUGUUACAGCCCCCCGGCGCCUUCAGACUGGUCGGGCACUGCGCCGUUAUGUUGGCUCCGCAGCGCGGCCCCUUGCUGCACCCUGGCCCGCCCUUGGCCGGCACCGGCAGGAAGUCCAUGGGCACGUUGAAGCCCUCGACAAAGGAGAUGUCGAAGAAAUCCUGGCUGCUGAAGCCGCCGAGCCGAAACUCCGCGAUGGUGUUGGGCGGCCGGCCAUUGGCUUUGCAAGCGAGCAGGCCGCCGCAGUCUCCCGUCUGGCAGGUCCCGGUGCCAUUGCCGUCGAACGAGCAGCCCGUGCGCGCCCACAGGCGCGUGGUGUUGGUGUCGCCCGUGUUGAGGGUCCAGGGCUUGCCUGGGUCGAGCUGCAUGCCGCCGCCAAUCGGGAGAGCCGCCGGCCAUAUGGUGUAGGGGCACCCGUUGGUGAUGUAGAACGUGGUGGCCUCGCUGGUGGCAGCAAGGAGGAGGAGGAAGAGGAGGAGGAGCGGUGAAGAGACACCCACGGCUGCCAUUUGCGUCAUGGUUCUUCCCUGCAGCCGUUGAUUUGAAUCAGGGUCAGAGUUGCAAAGUUGCAAUAGGGCUCCCCUGUGACAGCUAACAGCGUGGAAGAGUUGUGUGGGAUUAGCAGACAGGGGCCGGAUUUCGUGUGUCGAAUAAUUCAACGGUCAACAUACAACAGCGACAUGAGACCUGUUUGAUAAUAGGACCAGGCUUGACUGUGGAACUUGUUUGCUUGCAAAUUAUUUAUAUAUCUGCGCGUCUUCCCAAAAAGGGGAGCUGCAUCUGUAUAUCCGCAUAACACGGUGCCAAAUCUGAGCAAAUACUACCUUUUAACUUAGUAUUCUCUCCGUUCCAUAAUGCAAGACAUUUUUUGACACUAGCCAUAUUGUAAGACAUUUUUUAACACUACUCUAGACUCAAAAAAUGUUUUACAUUAUGGGAUGGAGGGAGUAAUAUAUAAGACAUUUUUUGACACUAUCAUGGACUCUAAAAAACGUCUUAUAAAAAAUUACGGAGUGUUACAUAGGUGUUUCCACAUGAAUAAAACACACAGUUUGGUAAGUCUCACCAUCAGAGAGUAGGCUUUGGUUUUUGUGUUUUCACAUGAAUAAAACACACUGCAGGCAUGUCUUUUCUUAUUUUAGAAACUUGUUGGGUUGCACGCCUUUUCUUCCUUCCUGAUCCAUGCUUUGUUGUGACAGGAACGGGCAAGAGUGAUCACUUUGCAAGAAGUAGCUGGUGGUUGGGGUCAAGCUGAAGGCAGCUGAAGCUGCGGUGGGCAGCUGCCUGGGAGCCGCUGGAUGCCUCGUUGACUGGCCAUCAACCAUAUGGAGCCUUGUCUCACUAACCACAUAACGCUGUCAGGUUUGCUCCCUGACGAGGGUGGCGGAAACCUUGUGUUCUUUGUGGACAUCUGUGUCAACUAGCGGAAGGUAAUUGUGGCGACUUUUUUUUUGUACAUUUUGCAGCGCCAAAACUGAGGUUUCGAGCUAUGGUGAGUGUUUUUUUGUGUGUGUGUAGUUGACAGAAUUGUGGUCGGCUGCUUGACCUUAGAGCAUCACCAAUUGCUUACCUAAAAUGUACUAGUUACCUAUAUGGCUUUUAGGUAUGGACGCCAAUAACUAGCGAUCGUUCCCAGGGGAGGAAUCCUCAUGAACGAAUCGUGAACGUCGCUCGGGUGUGCUCGCUGCCCACCAGCGGUGUGCCUCAGGUGCUCCUUCUAUAAAAAUAAACAAUUUCGUUUUUUUUUGAGGAAAAAUAAACAAUUUCGUUGAUACAAGCAAGUAAAUUUUGCCAUGUAAAAGGUCACAUGGCAAAAACUAAACAAAAAUAUGUUUAUUUACCAAAUAUGUAUAGCUACAUGGCCAAAAAAAGUUGUCGUGCUCUAGAGAAUAAAAGUACCACAUAUUUUUUUUAAAUAAAUAAAUCAAGUGUAAUGUAAGGCACAUAAAAAUGCAUGCUUGUACAAAAAAUAUAAUACAUCAAGUCG
rnacentral:lncRNA from 1 species